rnacentral:rRNA from 1 species
AAAGCUCCCUUAAAGAGAGCACUCNNGGUAACCCUGUCACGGUUUCCCGCAUUGCAGAGAGUUU